rnacentral:rRNA from 1 species
CAGCCGCCGCGGGAAUACGUAGGUCCCGAGCGUUGUCCGGAUUUAUUGGGCGUAAAGCGAGCGCAGGCGGUUAGAUAAGUCUGAAGUUAAAGGCUGUGGCUUAACCAUAGUACGCUUUGGAAACUGUUUAACUUGAGUGCAAGAGGGGAGAGUGGAAUUCCAUGUGUAGCGGUGAAAUGCGUAGAUAUAUGGAGGAACACCGGUGGCGAAAGCGGCUCUCUGGCUUGUAACUGACGCUGAGGCUCGAAAGCGUGGGGAGCAAACAGGAUUAGAUACCCCUGUAGUCCCUGUCUCUUAUACA